AGUGAACGCUGGCGGUAGGCCUAACACAUGCAAGUCGAACGGCAGCACAGUAAGAGCUUGCUCUUUCGGGUGGCGAGUGGCGGACGGGUGAGGAAUACAUCGGAAUCUACUUUUUCGUGGGGGAUAACGUAGGGAAACUUACGCUAAUACCGCAUACGACCUACGGGUGAAAGCAGGGGAUCUUCGGACCUUGCGCGAUUGAAUGAGCCGAUGUCGGAUUAGCUAGUUGGCGGGGUAAAGGCCCACCAAGGCGACGAUCCGUAGCUGGUCUGAGAGGAUGAUCAGCCACACUGGAACUGAGACACGGUCCAGACUCCUACGGGAGGCAGCAGUGGGGAAUAUUGGACAAUGGGCGCAAGCCUGAUCCAGCCAUACCGCGUGGGUGAAGAAGGCCUUCGGGUUGUAAAGCCCUUUUGUUGGGAAAGAAAAGCAGCAGGUUAAUACCCCGCUGCUCUGACGGUACCCAAAGAAUAAGCACCGGCUAACUUCGUG
rnacentral:rRNA from 1 species